UACAGAGGUCUCAAGCGUUGUUCGGAUUCAUUGGGCGUAAAGGGUGCGUAGGUGGCGAGGCAAGUCUGGUGUGAAAUCUCGGAGCUCAACUCCGAAACUGCACUGGAUACUGCCUUGCUCGAGUACUGGAGAGGAGAUUGGAAUUUACGGUGUAGCAGUGAAAUGCGUAGAUAUCGUAAGGAAGACCAGUGGCGAAGGCGAAUCUCUGGACAGUUACUGACACUGAGGCACGAAGGCCAGGGGAGCAAACGGG
rnacentral:rRNA from 1 species